rnacentral:rRNA from 1 species
GAUCUGGUUCAGAUGAACGCUGGCGGCAGGCUUAACACAUGCAAGUCGAGCGGGGAAAUGUAGCUUGCUACAUUACCUAGCGGCGGACGGGUGAGUAAUGCUUAGGAAUCUGCCUAUUAGUGGGGGACAACAUCUCGAAAGGGAUGCUAAUACCGCAUACGUCCUACGGGAGAAAGCAGGGGACCUUCGGGCCUUGCGCUAAUAGAUGAGCCUAAGUCGGAUUAGCUAGUUGGUGGGGUAAAGGCCUACCAAGGCGACGAUCUGUAGCGGGUCUGAGAGGAUGAUCCGCCACACUGGGACUGAGACACGGCCCAGACUCCUACGGGAGGCAGCAGUGGGGAAUAUUGGACAAUGGGGGGAACCCUGAUCCAGCCAUGCCGCGUGUGUGAAAGAAGGCCUUUUGGUUGUAAAGCACUUUAAGCGAGGAGGAGGCUACCGAGAUUAAUACUCUUGGAUAGUGGACGUUACUCGCAGAAUAAGCACCGGCUAACUCUGUGCCAGCCGCCGC